rnacentral:rRNA from 1 species
GGGCUCUGUCUGGGGCGCGGCCCAGGCGCACCCAGAACCCUUUGUGAACUUAUACCUUACUGUUGCCUCGGCGAAGGCUGGCCCCCCGGGGCCCCUCACCCUCACGGGUGUUGAGACAGCCCGCCGGCGGCCAAGUUAACUCUUGUUUUUACACUGAAACUCUGAGAAUAAAACAUAAAUGAAUCAAAACUUUCAACAACGGAUCUCUUGGUUCUGGCAUCGAUGAAGAACGCAGCGAAAUGCGAUAAGUAAUGUGAAUUGCAGAAUUCAGUGAAUCAUCGAAUCUUUGAACGCACAUUGCGCCCUCUGGUAUUCCGGAGGGCAUGCCUGUUCGAGCGUCAUUUCAACCCUCAAGCCUGGCUUGGUGAUGGGGCACUGCUUCUCUCACGAGGAGCAGGCCCUGAAAUUCAGUGGCGAGCUCGCCAGGACCCCGAGCGCAGUAGUUAAACCCUCGCUCUGGAAGGCCCUGGCGGUGCCCUGCCGUUAAACCCCCAACUUCUGAAAAUUUGACCUCGGAUCAGGUAGGAAUACCCGCUGAACUUAAGCAUAUCAAUAAGCGGAGGAA